UUGAAGGCGUAGAGACUGAAGUCCUCUCUAUCCACAGAACAGGUAUGGCACAGGCGGUGGCCCUGCAGCUUGCCACCGUCCCAGCAAUGUGCCUCACUCCUAGCAGAGGGAGACUGUGUCACGGGGAAGAGGGCUGUUCAGUCUCCAUGCCCUUCACUCUUGGGCUGUU
ensembl:misc_RNA